CUUGUACAAUGGGCUGAUCGCGGAAAUGACUUCCGCGAUGUUCUGCUGGAAGUAGUCGUCUUCGUAGGCUUCUCUCAUGUGGUCCCCAGCGUCGGCGAACCCUGAUAAAUAGGGAGGACCUACAGCUUCGUGCCAAGACCUCCAAAAGUGUAGCAACUCUUCGUAGUCUCUCGACUGGGCCAUAACUCGAUUGAUCUCUAAAUAAAUGAGAAGGGGCAAAGCCUGGUCCUCAUGUAGAGCUCCUUCAUCUCGACUAUCAAGUGAUGGAUCUGAAAUCGUUAAGAACUGAAUUCUAUCUUUAAGCAUCGGGUCAGAGGAAGUAGGAGGCUCCUUCGUCUUACCUCGUUGAACUUGUCGUCAGUAAGUGCACUUCUUCCUUUGACUGCUAUCAUUUUCAGCUGCCUUCUUGUCAAAGGAUCCGGGACCCUGCUCCAGGCGAAGGUGACCGCCUUCCUCCAGGAUGCUCGGUCGAAUUUUAGCUUAAAUGUUUGCUCCUCCAACUAUGGAAAGGAUUUCACGGAAUUAUUUUACUGUCAAGUACCUCUGUAUACCUCCUAGUUGACUAAAGUUUGGCAUUUCAUCGAAUUACCAUUUUCCGACGAUUAUAGUCGGUGAUGUUGGUCGCGAAGUUCCAUUGUGCCGUCAUGACUCUGUUGCACAUUAUUGAAGCUUCGCGAUCGUAUUCUCGAAGGAAUUGAAGCGCUUCGCCCAGGUUCACGUUGAGGCCCUGAAAAUAAUUACAAAUACCUCUAAAAUAAUUAGAUUAAUUAUAUUGGCAUAUUUACCUAUAUUAAAUGAAAAGGAAAAACGUGGGUGCGCGUAAACGGAACAUGGUGCAACAAAAUACUGGUGUGUAGAUUUGGGAUCUCCUGGGACGCUAAGCUGGGACAUUAGAAUUGCAAAUACCUUCGGUGUAGAACAAUGAACGUUUGCCAAGCACCUCUGCAGUUGAAGAGAGCUUAUCGAAUUGUAUCAUCUUCGGGGAAGACCGUUAAGGGAAACAGAAAAGGGUACCAAUUGCGUCGCCGAGACGUACGUAGGCUUUUUAGACUUACCUCCAAAUAUCGAGCGUGGUUCCCGACAACGACGAAGAGAAUCGCCAGGACUCCUAUUUCUCUGGCAAUUCGUGUCUUUGUCAUCGUUCAACAAAUGUCCAUCAACAAUAAUGUGAGAAUUCCCGACUAAAGAGGCGGAGAACUUCGACUUUCCGUGUACAUCUCGCGGAUUCCUUAAACGGGUCUUAACUUUCCCGAUUUAUUCCACUAUUAUUGGCUCCACAUCCCGGGGCCUGAAACAGUGAAUUAAAUCAGCCGCGGUCACGGUGUUUUAAAUCAUUCACGACAGUGUACAGUUACACAGGUCGAACAAAUCCUGCGUCGAAGACCGGAAGCGGGUCAGAUCGUUCGGUGAUGCAUGGGCGAGCGGACGAUCCCAUUUCGGCGUUAAAAUCUCGGUGAAAUUUCAUCCUAUCCCAAUGUGGCCAAUGGUACCCACAAACUACGUGUAUGCACGGUCAGAGAACGAAAGCAAAAGAGAAACUUACGAAUUUUUCGAUAUUUUAGACGGUUCCGAAAUUUCGGAAACGCUCGGAUGAGCGCGGCGGCGCCUCCUUACGAGCGGCCAGUCUCGGAGGUUCCUCGGUUCCUUCGACCUUUUGGAGACCCUUUCAGACUCUCUAACGGGAGACCCGUUACUCGCGGACUGGGCAGAGGCGAACUGAAUUGCACGAGAGGUACACACGGUGUUCCGGGAUGAGUGUGCCGAGCAAAAACCAGAGGAAGGGACAGGCAUCGCCGGUGCGUGAAGCGUGACCACCUAACGCGCGCCGGCACACGCCAAAAUAUCUUCUACGCCUGCGAUGGCUAUCGUCUUCGGGAACGGUGACCGAUCCUCCGCUUUUCCGAAUUCCUGCUUUCACGAAAGUGCCGGGGAAAAAGAAGGGUCCAUUCGUCGGUUAUGGCUUCUUGUGAGAAUAUUAACACGAGAUAUUACGUGACGGUAUUUUGAGAGUUUAAUUCAGCAUCUUCGA